rnacentral:rRNA from 1 species
GGUGAACGCUGGCGGCGUGCCUAAGGCAUGCAAGUCGAACGACCCCGGUCGCAAGAUCGGGGAGUGGCGGACGGGUGAGUAACGCGUGAGAACGUACCCCUUAGUGAGGAAUAACCCCGCGAAAGCGGGGCUAAUACCGCAUACGAUCGUAAGAUCAAAGGAUGUAACUAUCCGCUAAAGGAGCGGCUCGCGUCCCAUCAGCUUGUUGGUAGGGUAAUGGCCUACCAAGGCUAUGACGGGUAGCUGGACUGAGAGGUUGAACAGCCACAAGGGCACUGAGACACGGGCCCUACUCCUACGGGAGGCAG